CAACACAAAACCAACAUUUUGAGCAAUUUAUUUGAUAAUUUCCCAGUCCAGUAGGUGGCGGUAAUGCACCUGGUUUCCCGACCACCAAUACAAAUAAAGGAAGAAGAAUAAUCUGAACAGGAUUGAGGCAGAAAUUAACGAAUCUCUUCGUGGUUGAACAGCUAUAUAUGAUAUUCAUUUUGUCCUAAAGGGGAACAGGAAUCAUGUGACCAGUGAUGAUAAACCACAGAUGACAAUGGAAGAUUUCAGCUGAGUGACUCGUUGAGAUGGACGUAAUGAGACAGGUCCACGCAGGCUGGGAGAAGGCGGCCAGGCCAUAUACAAGGUGAAAAACAAUCAGGUCUGUCCUGAUUUAGAGCUGGGACGAGAUUGCAUAUACAGCACUGGACCUGAAAGAGCCUCGCUGACUGCAGAGCGCCAGCGGCUCGGAACGCCAUCUGUGAAUUUUCCUGCUGCCUGGCACCAGCACACGGAUCACACAAAGCACCCCUGCACCAACUCUUCCGGUCCAGAUAUCCAACGCUGUGUGCAAGCCAGCACAAGUCAAACCAAUCCUUUCUUCCCUAAAUAUUGCUCUAUUUACCGGGGCAUCAUGGAGCUCAGCCUGGAUGCAAAUCAUCCUCUCCUCUGUCAUCCAUUCUCAUGGAAAGGUCUGGAACAUGACCGUUCAACUGGUGGCCCAAAUCUGGCCCAUAAAUGAUAUUGGACUGAGGAUGCUUUUGCAGUAAGGGCCUUCUAAAUACAAGAGUGAUCCCGUCACAACUAGAAUUGUUGAGUAGCAUUUGACGGUUAUGGAUUUGACUUUUUGACUUUAUUCCAGACUGUUCUCCGGUCCUAGCCUUGCGGUGACGUUAUAUACACAGAGAAGUCAGAAGAAGUCAGAUUUUUUAAAAUGCUUUUA